rnacentral:miRNA from 1 species
AUCCCCACUGCAGAAUGAAUG